AGCUGAAAACCAUUUUUCAGUCAAAGCUGAUGAGCUUGCAAAGACUUUCUUUGCCCAGCUCUCUCUGACUGCAGGUUUGUCCUCUUCUCCUUGGAAUCCUUCCUGUUAUUUUUCCACCUUCCUGUCGCAGGAUGCAACGCUCAUUACAAUAAUAGAUCAAACUUUGAGUGGAAAAACUCCUCUCUACAGUUGUCUUCAAGAUUUCCCAGUUUCAUUCCUGUUUACUGAGCCACAGCCCUGACCCCUCGGCUCGCCCUGCCAGGUACAGCAUUGUGAUAACACAGCAAAACCAAGCCCAGCGCUCCUGCAUGUGUGCCCGUAGUUAGCAGGUAGAGUGUUUUUGCAGGACACUUAGGUGGGCAAAAGAUGCAAUGUGAGGGUUUUAGUCUGCCCAGCAGUUUUCGAUUAACAUGUGUCUCAGCCCUAAAAUCAUUAGGUUUUUAAACAGAGGGACAUGAAGUGAUCUUAUGUGUUGGGCCCAAGAGUUACCAUGUGUCAGGCAGCCCCCCCAGCAGGUGUAGGUGUUUCAUACAACACAGGUGGUUGGGUGCUGCAACAUGGGCCUGGAGGUGUUUGGCCAUUGCCGUGGAUACCCAAACUGAGGUGGAGGAGGCCCCAAAAUGCACAACUCUUCCCUGCUUGCAGAAGGACUUGGGCUGAGGCCUGCGGAGACACUCUGAGACCUGAGGCCUGGUGGUGCUCGAGCAUCCCGAGGCAUCAGGAGCUCACACCACGGGCUGAAACACACAGCAGCAGUUCCUGGGCAGAGCUGGGAGAGAACAUCGCUCUGCUGCUUCCUGCCUCUUGCCACAAACAAGAUUAAGACAUAGUUACAGGAACAUUUCCAAAAUCAUAUUAAAACCAAAGUCCCGCUACCAGAAGUCCUCGGUACUCAGCUCACACCUAAGACACAGAUAUGGGCACCUAGCGAUGAGAUUCUCCUCACCUAAUAUUAAUCACCCAAUCAUGAGGUGUAAACUAGCGGUUUAAUUCCUCCUGUAGUUAAAGGAGGGGAGCACCUAUAAAAGCCAGCCCACCUUAUCCUCUUAGCUGCUAUCUUAAGAUGGGAUAAGUCAGUCUCUGAGGUACCUCUGCUUAGGAGCUUAGAGAAUUGGAGGAAGCCAAACUCAUAAACAUCAAACAAACAAGAGCAGAAGAUGAAUCCCAACCUAAUGGUGGAGCCUUUUGUUCCUACUGAAGGCAGCAGCUGAAGAGAGCUCCUCUGCCCUUGCUCUUUUACCUCUUCACCAGUUGUUAGCUGGCUCCUGCAGCCCAGAGCAGCCGCUCCCCUUGCCAGCCACAGCACCUCUUGACCACAUCAAACAGCACCCAGCUUACCCAGGAGCAGAAUUAAGAAGCUUUAUGACCUUUUAAGAAGGGAGGGGCGUUAAUUUGUGGUCCCAAUUCCAACUUUCCUUUGAAAAGGGAAAGCAGUUUCCACAGACCACAGCCCAGCCCAUUAUAGAGAAGCAGAUAGUGCAAGAUGAUCUAAACCACCAAAAAUAAAUAAAUAGAUAAACAAAGGAGAGGUUUAAAAAGUAGCUUGCUCAUUAGCAGAUAAAUUCUAUACUAAGCUGAAAGCAGAUUGAGGAACGAAGCCCUGCUCUGACAGCCAGUCCACCCUCUCUGCAAAUAUUAUGCACCAGGUAACAGAACUAUUCUCAUGAAUCACUGCCUAGUAAAAUAAAUAAAUAAACACAAAGCUCACCGUAGUGAUGGAGUGACUGACUGGGUUUUAAGCUGGGCUGCUCGAUGCUGAGAAGCUGUGUGCAGGAGGAGGGAUGGGAGCCCGGCCACCUGUGGUGCCACGUGAGCGAGAGGCUGGCGUGAGGGGUGGGCAGCGCACCAGCUGGGUCGGUCAGGUUUUUAGAGCCCAAAGAGGGUUUCAAGAGUUUCUCUGCAACUGAGAAGCAGAAGUGGUUUGGAUUUUCCUAUUUUGAACCCCUCCUGUCUACUUUCCAAUUUAGGAUGCAAUUAAGGGAUUGUUUUUAAGAGAGUACACCAAGAGGAACCUAACGACAACGGAGCCCUGCUAUGCCUAGCACUGUAACAACCCCAGAAGAUGCUGCAGAUGAAGAAAGCUUUCCAUCUGCAUUUUCACUGCUGUAUGUGCUGAUUUCUGGCAUCCCUGUCUUAUCCGUGUGGUUCACAUGGUGGUGGUGUCAACAGGAGCUGGCAAGGCCGUGCAGGACACCUCUUGUCCUCCUGCUGCGGUGUGUGGGCUGAGGGGCGCUCAGUUCUCUCUGCUCCCCUGUGCAGGGCUGGCUCGGUAUUUUUACUGUGCUGGGGCUGGUGGGAAGCAGCUGGCUGUUAAAUGAGCACCACUGCGCUGUCCAAAUGCCCCGAGGUAGCUCCUGGGUGGGAAGGGUGGCUGCGUGCUCGCUGUGGGCUGCUGGGGACAGGGGUCACACAGCUGCCGUGCGAGGGCAGAGCUGGCUGAGCAUGUUCUGCGAGAGGUGGAUGCUAACCAGGGUUUGCUGGAGGGUGAAGUAGAGCUUCAUAUUGUGAAUGCACUGGGAAUCCUGGACUGCACCACCCCAGCUUGGGAAGGAUGCUGGAUGCAUCCUACACAGGCAUUACAAACUACCAUUAGCUUUAUCACCCACAAAUUCUUUGCAAUGGUAUGCAAAGUCAGCUUGGCAAUAGCCCAGAAUAUUUUCUAUGUUCACGUUUAACUACUACGCCAUCUCCUUGGAUUCUCCACUGCUGCGUAUAGGAUUUCUGCAGAGCAUCCCAGGUUAUAAACACCUUGAGACAGAAAUGGUCUUUUGGGUCUGUUUACCCAGUAUAUGGCUUCCUGUCAGUCUGGCCAAAGGCUGCGGUCCCUUAAUACUUCCACAUCAGGGAAAGAUUAAUCAUAACAAUCCUCAGCCUGGUGCAUGUCUAGGUGAUGAAUCCUUCCCACACCUCUGUAGGACCAGUGAAUGCAGGAGCCCAGUCUUGGGGUGUGACUUUACCGUGCCCCAGUACCGAAAGUCCACAGGUAGUUCUUGUGCUCUUUAAGCAUCUGGUACCACGCACUGCUCUCAAGGCACAGCAAGCUGUCCUACACCGUGCUUGGGCUUUGCACAAGAAGCGUUUUGCAAUGCCAAGAGGUUUGUGCUCUGAGCAUCCCCGCCCCUCUGCACUGGUAGAGAAAAUGAGAUACAAGGAGAGGAGACAACCAUGGUCCUAACCAGCUGGAGGGAGGGGGGGGGCCUCCCCAUCCCUCCCAGCCCCAGCAGAGGCAGCAGUUGGAGGCUUUACCCCCGCACAUUUCUGGUGUGCAAAUGAGGAGGCAGCAGCGAAGCGUGUCCUUUAUCUGCCGGGACAGAGGCCCACCGAACGGAGCCCGGCAGGGAGCUGGGAGAUAAACGCUGGGUGCUGGAGGUGGCCCCCUGCAACCGCUGCCAAGGAACUCGGCCUGGAAUGUGCAACCUGCCAGUUUGGGCUAAUGGAGCUGGUGCAAUGUGAAGGCUUAGUGCCUGGCUAUGAUCCUCCCAUCUCCUACUUCCUACACCUCCUUCUGGGGUGUGUCUGCGCUGAGAGAAGCCGCGCUGACCGAUGGAAGAACUGAGCUGGCUAAACAGGAACGUUGGUGGGGAAACCUUGGGUCACCUUGCAGGUCCUUGCAGUGGUUCAGUGAUUCCCGGGCCUACUUUUUGGCCAUUUUGCUCUAGCCCAUCUA